rnacentral:rRNA from 1 species
UGGGGAAUAUUGGACAAUGGAGGAAACUCUGAUCCAGCAAUUCUGUGUGUGUGAAGAAGGUUUUAGGACUGUAAAACACUUUUAGUAGGGAAGAAAAAAAUGACGGUACCUACAGAAGAAGCAACGGCUAAAUACGUGCCAGCAGCCGCGGUAAUACGUAUGUUGCGAGCGUUAUCCGGAAUUAUUGGGCUUAAAGGGCAUCUAGGCGGUAAGACAUGUUGAAGGUGAAAACCUGUGGCUCAACCAUAGGCUUGCCUACAAAACUGUUGAACUAGAGUACUGGAAAGGUGGGUGGAACUACACGAGUAGAGGUGAAAUUCGUAGAUAUGUGUAGGAAUGCCGAUGAUGAAGAUAACUCACUGGACAGAAACUGGCGCUGAAGUGCGAAAGCUAGGGGAGCAAACAGG